rnacentral:rRNA from 1 species
CGCUGGCGGCGUGCCUAACACAUGCAAGUCGAGCGGAGUUAACAAGAGGAAGUUUCGGAUGGAAUUUGUUAAUUAGCGGCGGACGGGUGAGUAACGCGUGAGCGACCAACCUUGCACAGGGGGAUAACGGACCGAAAGGUUCACUGAUACCGCAUGAGACCACGGUGUUGCAUGACACAGAGGUCAAAGGAGCAAUCCGGUGCAAGACGGGCUCGCGUCCGAUUAGGUAGUUGGUGGGGUAAUGGCCCACCAAGCCUAUGAUCGGUAGCCGACCUGAGAGGGUGAUCGGCCACAUUGGAACUGAGAUACGGUCCAAACUCCUACGGGAGGCAGCAGUGGGGAAUAUUGGGCAAUGGGGGAAAAACCCCCUGACCCAGCAACGCCGCGUGAAGGAAGAAGGUUUUCGGAUUGUAAACUUCUGUCCUUGGUGAAGAGAAGAAGACGGUAGCCAAGGAGGAAGCCCCGGCUAACUACGUGCCAGCCGCUGC